rnacentral:rRNA from 3 species
UGGCGGCACUAGCGCGGUGGUCCCACCUGACCCCAUGCCGAACUCAGAAGUGAAACGCCGUAGCGCCGAUGGUAGUGUGGG